AACGAACGCUGGCGGCAGGCUUAACACAUGCAAGUCGAGCGCAACGCAAGGGGAGCGGCAGACGGGUGAGUAACGCGUGGGAAUCUACCCAUCUCUACGGAAUAACGCAUGGAAACGUGGGCUAAUACCGUAUACGUCCUUCGGGAGAAAGAUUUAUCGGAGAUGGAUGAGCCCGCGCUGGAUUAGCUAGUUGGUGGGUUAAAGGCCUACAAAGGCGACGAUCCAUAGCGGGUCUGAGAGGAUGAUCAGCCACACUGGGACUGAGACACGGCCCAGACUCCUACGGGAGGCAGCAGUGGGGAAUAUUGGACAAUGGGCACAAGCCUGAUCCAGCCAUGCCGCGUGAGUGAUGAAGGCCCUAGGGUUGUAAAGCUCAUUCACCGGUGAAGAUAAUGACGGUAACCGGAGAAGAAGCCCCGGCUAACUUCGUGCCAGCAGCCGCCGCGGUAA
rnacentral:rRNA from 1 species